UGAUUGGUUGAAAAGCAUCAUUCAGAAGGAACCAAUAAAGAGAGAGGGGGUAAGAAGGGGAUACAAGUUCUUACUCUGGUCAUGAAUUUUAUUCGGAACUGUCAGCUCGGGUUUGGUUGGUUGAAAAGCAUCAUUCAGAAGGAACCAAUAAAGAGAGAGGGGGAAUUCCUGCAAAAAGUAAUAAACUAAAAGAAAACCUAAAGGGUAUAAAUGUAAAAUUAAGUCCUUUUACUCUCUCCAGUUGAACUACCUAGAGAAAACCAUUUUAAAUCACAAUUUCAGAAGAUUUUAAAAAUUCAACUCUACCUAAAGACAUCAUAAAAUGGCUCAUUAUUCCAUCAUCCAGGCUCCCCUGUUUCUCAGGCCUCCAGACUGAAGCUGAAUUAUACCACCAGCUCUCCUCAGUCUCCAGUUUGCAGACAACAGAUCAUGGGACUUCUCAGCCUCCAUAAUCACAGGAGUCAAUUCCUCAUAAUAAAUCUGUCUGCCCCCUGGGUCAUAUCGUCUAAUAACAGAAAUCAGAGAGAAGUACCAGGAUCAUAAUUACAGAGAGAAGUUUGACCAAAUCCCUUUCUGUAAAAAUGUUAAAUAUAAAUAUAUGUCUUCUAUGUUUUUGUCCUAACCCUAAAUACUAAAUAUUUACUGGGAAGUCUCUUAAUCUGUGAAAGACUGCAUUCAUUUACAUUAAAUAAAAUAUGGGAAUUGCUAAAUUUUAAAUUCAGUAUUCCCUAUGAAAAACUAAACUUAGGAAAAGUAAAUUUUUUAUGAAUUUUGCCACAACUGCUCAUUUGGGGAAUAAAAAUCAGAACUCUGAAAUUUUAGCUUUAAAAACCAAUAUUGUCUUUGAAAGCUAAUGAUCAAGUGAUGAUUUUGUUUUCUAGCCAUUUAAUAAUAACCUUGGCGUUCUUUUUCGGGUUCAUAUGCCUUGCACAAUCUUUGACCAAAACCAAAAUUCUCACCUACUUUCUAUGUAAUAAAUCAUUAGGAAUUAUGAAAAAGAGAGAAAAGAAUUAACGUUAUCCAAGUUUAUAACUAUUGGAUGGGCAUUCUGCUAGAAUGCUUCUUAUGCUUUAUGCUUCUUAUCAUAUUAAUGCUCCAGUAUUAUAUACGAUAGAAAAUAAAAGUUAAUCUAGUAAUAUAUAAUGUUAAAUUCAACUAAAUUUG
rnacentral:lncRNA from 1 species